rnacentral:rRNA from 1 species
UACGUAGGUGACCAGCGUUGUCCGGAUUUACUGGGCGUAAAGGGCGCGUAGGCGGUCAGCACAAGUCAGUUGUGAAAUCUCCGGGCUUAACUCGGAAAGGUCAACUGAUACUGUGCGACUAGAGUGCAGAAGGGGCAACUGGAAUUCUCGGUGUAGCGGUGAAAUGCGUAGAUAUCGAGAGGAACACCUGCGGCGAAGGCGGGUUGCUGGGCUGACACUGACGCUGAGGCACGAAGGCCAGGGGAGCAAACGGG